CGCUCAAGGUCAUCGAAAAAAGCAGCACUUUGUGCACGACGAGGUGAUUCAUCCCAAAGGAAUAUUCCUAUGACCCUCCCCUUUAGCAUCUCUAAAUUACUUCACUCAUCCAAACACCACUUGGAGCCCAAUCCCACGACCCAGCGGGCUUCUUUAGACUCACAACUUACUUCCUUUAUACCUUGACCUCCCGAGAGGCCGUGGGUCAAAUCAGAACAUACGCAUACAGAUUUAUUAACAAACCUAGGGGAAGGAGAGGAGGCGGCAGCAGACAACAAGUAAAAGGAAGGUUUUGCUCCAGCUGAAGGUGCUGCCGGGAGCAGCGGUUGCUCCCCAGGCACUGCACGCAAAGCCAACAGGAGACGGGCAGCUUGCAGAGGAGCGCAGGUAAGAGAUGAGACCCGGUGGACCAGGAGCGGAGAGCGGCAUCAGGCAAACUUUGAGCUGCACCGCAGGGUGGGCAGAUCGACGGCAGCCCUGCGCCCUCCCUCCUGCCGGCGCUACAGAGAUGGGGCAGCGCAGCAGGAAGGGCAGGGCAGCCCUUCGGGGAGCAGAGCAGCGGGCGAGCAGAAACUUUCCGCCUCGGGGAGGGAGAGGUGAAGGCAGAAGCGGAGGGGCAACGCCGUAAUGCUCCUAGGGAUGCCAUCCUCACGGGGACCUGGAGCUCCACACAAACCAGGCAGGCUGCAGAUGCCCUUGACAUGGAAGUGGAGAGGAAAUUGGGGCAGAGGAGGCUUCGUUGUUUUUUUUUUUUUUCCAGAGCUGGUGACAGAGAUAACCGAAAUGGAAGGGAGCUGAGGGGAGCUGCUGCUUCUGCAUGGCAGUCUAAGGAGCUCACUGCAGCCACAGAGGGAACUGGAAGCACUGUGGGGAAUGUAAACAAGGCACUGUGCUCCCAGAGCCGUAUAAACACCUCAGAGAGCAACCUCAUGGCACAGGGCUGCUGGAUCUUCAGCCUGAAGAGAGCAAGGGGCUAAGCAGCUUAAGCCUCAUUAUGCUCUCUUGUGCAAGUUCCACGACUCGCAGAGAGCAUCUCAGCCAGGCCAUAAAACUGCAGGUAAGUGGGCUGCUCCCAUAGCACACGAGCUGAAAAAAAAAUCCACCAAGGCUGGUGGAUAUUUGGAUAUGUGGACGUUUGCCAACAGCACAGCACUGCAGCGUUGGCCGAUUUACUCUGGAAAACAGAUUGAAUCUCCAGGUCUCUGCAUCCCGAUGGGGGAGAAGCAGGAACAUCUUUCCUCUUUGUCAUGAAUUUGCACCAAUUUCAAUCAUUCCCAGGGCGUGCAGUGAGUUGAAAGGCCUCUGUCUGCACAGUGCAGCCAAGCAGCAAAGUAGCAAGCAGUCAGUUUGAUGCAUCACAUAACAGCCGUGUGCCGGACAGUUGGUGCCAACCCACCACGAGUGCUGCUCAGCCCAGGCGUGAGGAGGUGGAAGAAUCCAACCCUGUUAUUUCAAGGCGACACUGUACCAGUUUUUGCUUCUCUUCCCUGUUUGUGGAAGAGAACCAGGGCCAGUGUUUGCUCCUGAACAAGCGUGCGGUUGUGCGCGAGCUCCUGCUGCAGUCCUGCUCCAGCUGAAAGGCAGAUGAACGGCUGCCAUCUCGGCCAGGCCUCUCACCCAGAUAUAAAGAAGCUCUCUCGAAACGAGGAACAUUCUGGAUUUUGCACUUAAUUGGUAAAACAGAUUAAUUUGACUGCCGAGACCUGGAAGAAAGGAAUUGACACACCUAGCUGGUGAUUCCCGUUAACGGAGGGCUCACGCUGAUUAUUUCCACCAGCAACACUUCCUGCCCAGCUCUGCCAGAGGACAAACGUCGGCGUUUCCUGCAGCCUUCCCCGAGCACUUUGGGAACUGAUGCCAUCAACGGGAACAUCGCUGAUGUAAAGCAGCAGGAGUAA